CCUGCGAGGAUCGUAUGCUCUGUGUGCAGCAUGUACUUUCCUCAAGCUUGACGCUCCUUAGGGGUGAUGACGGGGAAUAAGAUAAGGCGAAAGCUACUACUUAUUUCCCAUAAAGUGCCACAGAGACGAGUUAUGCAGAAAUGCAUAGGUGAAACGCGGUAAACUCCUCCAGGAAGAAACCCAAAUUUUCGGUAAGGGAA
rnacentral:RNase_P_RNA from 1 species